GCCAGAUCCUCAUCGAUGCCCAUGAGACGGAGGGAGUCGAUGAGGUCUAGAUAGGGUCGAACUCGCUCGUUCAACUGGCCAUGGAACACCCCCUCCAUUUCCUUGUUGAAGCUAGAGAAACGGAAGAAACACCCUUACAACUAGACCGCAUGGGGGGGCAGGUCAGUCAGAGUGUCAUGGCCCCCACACUUUGGAACACUCUCCCUCAACAUCUCCAUGAUUGCACCAGCAUCACCCCUUUCAAGACGCAACUGAAAACACAUCUCUUCAUGAUUGACUACUCAGCUCACUCCUGCAACCCCCAGGAGUUGCAUAGAUUGAUCCUAUUACCUAUUCAUUUAUCCUAAAGUAGUUUAUAUUUCAUAAAGCCGUAUUGAUAGUGAUAAAAAAUAAGUAAAUAAAGUAAGUAUGUAACAGCGUAAAUCCCAUGAAUAUUGUUUCUAUUAUUUCAUCUUCCACUGUAAGCUGUCUCUCUUGCUCCUCUUCUCUGCUGUACUCUAGAACUGUUGUGCAUUCCCUCUGUUGCUAUGGUUGUUCGUUAUGCUGUCACACUUAAAAUAAUAAUAAUAUUAGUAUUAUUAAAGGCCAACUUUGUAACUCUAGUAAAUUCUUUUUGAUUUCUCA